UACAUGCACAAAAUCCCUUUUGGGAUGUAUUUAUUACUCUAAAACCAAUGCUCUCUUUUGAAAGCUAUCUGGUGAAUCAUAAUAACUGUCGAAUCGCAUGGAUUUAUUCCGGCGAUAGAUCAUUCAAGUUUCUGACCUAUCAGCUCUCAAUCGUAGUGUAUUGGACUACGAUGGCAUUGACGGGUAACGGAGAAUUAGGGUUCGAUUCCGGAGAAGGAGCCUGAGAAACGGCUACUACAUCUAAGGAAGGCAGCAGGCGCGCAAAUUACCCAAUUGGAAUUUCCAGAGGUAGUGAAGAUAAAUAACAAUGCCGAAGCUUUCAGCUCUCGGUAAUUGGAAUGAGAACAAUUUAAAUCCCUUAUCGAGUAUCCAUUGGAGGGCAAGUCUGGUGCCAGCAGCCGCGGUAACACCAGCUCCAAUAGCGUAUAUUAAAGUUGCUGCAGUUAAAAAGCUCGUAGUUGGAUAUCUGAUUGGUUAAAAGAGAUCUGCUUUCGAGUGUGUGUCUCUUUUUCCAAUCAUCUUUCCAGUUGUAUUUUUCAUUUCUUCAGCAAUGGAGAUUUGAUUAAUUAAACUGGAUCUUUUACUUUGAAAAAUAAGAGUGUUCAAAGCAAGCUUUUGCUGUGAAUUCAUUAGCAUGGAAUAAUAAAAUAGGACUUUGGUCUAUUUUAUUGGUUUCUAGUCCAAAGUAAUGAUUGAUAGGGACAGUUGGGGGUGCUUGUAUUGAACGGCCAGAGGUGAAAUUCUUGGAUUCGUUCAAGACAAACUACUGCGAAAGCAUUCACCAAGGAUGUCUUCUUUAAUCAAGAACGAAAGUUGGGGGAUCGAAGACGAUCAGAUACCGUCGUAGUCUCAACCAUAAACUAUGCCAACUAAGGCUCAGCAAAUGUUUUCAAUAGACUUUGCUGGGACUUUAGAGAAAUUAAAGUUUUCGGGUUCUGGGGGGAGUCUGGUCGCAAGGCUGAAACUUAAAGGAAUUGACGGAAGGGCACACAAGGAGUGGAGCCUGCGGCUUAAUUCGACCCAACACGGGAAAACUUACCAGGUCCAGAGACGCGAAGGAUUGACAGAUUGCAGAUCUUUCUUGAUUGCGUCGUUGGUGGUGCAUGGCCGUUCUUAGUUGGUGGAGUGAUCUGUCUGGUUAAUUCCGUAAACGAACGAGACCAAGCCCUGCUAACUAGUUUUUCAUAGUUCUCUAUGAGGAAACUUCUUAGAGGGACUGUCGGCUUCCAGCCGAAGGAAGCGCU
rnacentral:rRNA from 1 species